UAGGGAAUCUUCGGCAAUGGACGGAAGUCUGACCGAGCAACGCCGCGUGAGUGAAGAAGGUUUUCGGAUCGUAAAGCUCUGUUGUAAGAGAAGAACGAGUGUGAGAGUGGAAAGUUCACACUGUGACGGUAUCUUACCAGAAAGGGACGGCUAACUACGUGCCAGCGGCCGCGGUAAUACGUAGGUCCCGAGCGUUGUCCGGAUUUAUUGGGCGUAAAGCGAGCGCAGGCGGUUAGAUAAGUCUGAAGUUAAAGGCUGUGGCUUAACCAUAGUACGCUUUGGAAACUGUUUAACUUGAGUGCAAGAGGGGAGAGUGGAAUUCCAUGUGUAGCGGUGAAAUGCGUAGAUAUAUGGAGGAACACCGGUGGCGAAAGCGGCUCUCUGGCUUGUAACUGACGCUGAGGCUCGAAAGCGUGGGGAGCAAACAGGAUUAGAUACCCUGGUAGUCCACGCCGUAAACGAUGAGUGCUAGGUGUUAGACCCUUUCCGGGGUUUAGUGCCGUAGCUAACGCAUUAAGCACUCCGCCUGGGGAGUACGACCGCAAGGUUG
rnacentral:rRNA from 1 species